UGGGGAAUUUUUGGACAAUGGGCGAAAGCCUGAUCCAGCAAUGCCGCGUGUGUGAAGAAGGCCUUCGGGUUGUAAAGCACUUUUGUCCGGAAAGAAAUCCUUGGCUCUAAUACAGUCGGGGGGAUGACGGUACCGGAAGAAUAAGCACCGGCUAACUACGUGCCAGCAGCCGCGGUAAUACGUAGGGUGCAAGCGUUAAUCGGAAUUACUGGGCGUAAAGCGUGCGCAGGCGGUUUGCUAAGACCGAUGUGAAAUCCCCGGGCUAACCUGGGAACUGCAUUGGUGACUGGCAGGCUAGAGUAUGGCAGAGGGGGGUAGAAUUCCACGUGUAGCAGUGAAAUGCGUAGAGAUGUGGAGGAAUACCGAUGGCGAAGGCAGCCCCCUGGGCCAAUACUGACGCUCAUGCACGAAAGCGUGGGGAGCAAACAGGAUUAGAUACCCUGGUAGUCCACGCCCUAAACGAUGUCAACUAGUUNUUGGGGAUUCAUUUCCUUAGUAACGUAGCUAACGCGUGAAGUUGACCGCCUGGGGAGUACGGUCGCAAGAUUAAAAGUCAAAUGAAUUGACGGGGUCAUAGCUGUUUCCU
rnacentral:rRNA from 1 species